rnacentral:misc_RNA from 1 species
GGAAAAUGGGAUUAUUUAAUUAGGAUUGUAGCCGUAAAUUUUGAUAAAAUUUUCCCUCAAGCGAGCACUAAUAUCUUUACACCUGUGUUGAACGUGGACACUAAAAAUUCAGUAAUUAUUGUUGAAAUUUUUCUUAAAAGACAAAGGUUUGGUUGGAGAAGUGGCUGGUUUUGUUGGAGAUAUGUUUUUUGGCAAUAAGGACCUCUGGUGUUUGGGUGAGAACUGAGAAAGUGAGAAGUCCUGAGAUCACAUUCUUUUACUCACUUGUUGGAGUAAGUUGAUGCCAGCUGUUGAACCUGGUGAGCUCUAGCAUAACUUACCAUUGUACAACGGGACCAAACUAGAGGCAUAACCGAUUGAGUCUUUAUUCUUUUUCUCUGGGCAAUAAAUUAAAUGUCAAAUUUGUUUCUUUGUGAAGUCAAUAAGUUGGAGAAGCGGAUAAAUUAUAGAAUUAUGUCACAAACGUAUAGGAUAGCAGACACCUUUCUCUUAACUGGCUUUCCAUUGUGCGUUAUUCCAUUUAUUUUUUUUUAUCUGUCCUAUUGUUAUAUGGCUAUAGGAUUGGGUUUUCUAAUACCAUUGUGUUAGUGUUGUUGUUUAAUGAAAUAUAUGUAUAACCUUG